CUCACUCUACCGGGGACUCUAUUCAACAAUAAGACGUCACAAAGAAAAAGGUAUUAUCACCACUGAAUAUGCACGAGACGACUAACACGAUGAUAGGUCCGCACAAAAGUUUGGAAGGAUGGACUCACACAAGAUGGUGCCUGUACAGAGGUCCAGGUGGUGCAGCCCUCGCUACGCUCACCAAGGCAGAAGGACUCGGCAUGUUCCAGUAGCAGGCCCCCGCAGUGGUCCCUCAGGAAUUUGGCAAUCUGCAUUCCACAUAUGCAUGUGUACAAACAGGCGGUGAAUUCAUUGGCACAAUACUGCACACAUAUAACACAUAUAAACGUUUGUUAGCUCGAACAGGAAAAAGACGCGGGAAGCCUGAAUGCAAUGAUAGUAAUAAUAAUUAACUAGGAUAUAAUGCUAUAAAACCACAAUAUAAUUAUGAGGGGUGCCUUAGUGGAGGGCUCCGGAAAUUUUGACGAUCUGGUGUUCGCUAAUGUGCACUGACAUUGUACAGUACAUGGUCCCUUGAAAUUUUGUCUACAUCAAAAUGAGACUACCACGGCUGGGAUCGAACCUGCGACCUUCGGGUCAGCAGCCGAACACUGCGACCGCUAACAUAUGCUGCACCACGGCGGACAAGCCUCAGCGCAUACAAAGUCACCUGGCACUAAAAAUUGGGCCUUGCGUUCUCAUUUUAGUUAUUUCUCUGUCGCAUCUCGCAAUUUCACCGCCAGAUAUGUGCGCGUCGCAGCGGGAGGUCGUUGGGAAAAGUUAGAAGAAGGCGAUAAUGGCGAUAGAAGAGUUAGUGCUGUGAAGACGAACAUGCGUGAACUCCUUAGUCUGCAUGGUAAACUUCUCGCAUUCAUUAUUUGUGUAGUCUCAUGCGUCGAAUAAAGCGCAUAAACACAAUGAGCACAUGUUUGCACAUUUCGUGCAAUAUGCGCACUACCAUGCUCUUCACGGCGGCAACUUUCAGUUUGCCACGGGCUUUAUGAGCUUAUAACCUGUUUAUACAGCUUGUGCAGAAGUGGGUUUCAUACUAUAUAAUAUUACUUCGUAUAAAACAACAUACACGCAAGGCUCCCUCAAUGACAUGUUCAUUUCUGAGUUCCUUCAUAGCUCACCUCGUACUGCCGAUCGAUAGAGAAGUCGUCCGGAGACGCAACGUCAAGUGCUUCGGCCACCCUGGAAAUAAAACAUUACAAACGCUGGUGGGCACGAACGUGAACAAAGCACUGCAGUAAACUGUUAA